rnacentral:rRNA from 1 species
UCUACGGGAGGCAGCAGUGAGGAAUAUUGGUCAAUGGGCGGGAGCCUGAACCAGCCAAGUCGCGUGAGGGAAGACGGUCCUACGGAUUGUAAACCUCUUUUGCCGGGGAGCAACGGGGUCCUUGCGAGGGCCCAAUGAGAGUACCCGGAGAAAAAGCAUCGGCUAACUCCGUGCCAGCAGCCGCGGUAAUACGGAGGAUGCGAGUGUUAUCCGGAUUUAUUGGGUUUAAAGGGUGCGUAGGCGGGCUGUUAAGGCAGCGGUAAAAUGUCGGGGCUCAACCCCGGCCUGCCGUUGAAACUGGCGGCCUCGAGUGGGCGAGAAGUAUGCGGAAUGCGUGGUGUAGCGGUGAAAUGCAUAGAUAUCACGCAGAACUCCGAUUGCGAAGGCAGCAUACCGGCGCCCUACUGACGCUGAGGCACGAAAGCGUGGGUAUCGAACAGGAUUAGAUACCCGAGUAGUC